rnacentral:rRNA from 1 species
UGGGGGAUAUUGCACAAUGGGCGAAAGCCUGAUGCAGCGACGCCGCGUGAGGGAAGACGGUCUUCGGAUUGUAAACCUCUGUCUUCAGGGACGAUAAUGACGGUACCUGAGGAGGAAGCUCCGGCUAACUACGUGCCAGCAGCCGCGGUAAUACGUAGGGGGCGAGCGUUGUCCGGAUUUACUGGGCGUAAAGCGCUCGUAGGCUGUUUGUUAAGUCAGAGGUGAAAUCCCACGGCUCAACCGUGGAACUGCCUUUGAUACUGGCAGACUAGAAUCCGGGAGAGGGUGGCGGAAUUCCAGGUGUAGGAGUGAAAUGCGUAGAUAUGCGGAGGAACACCGAUGGCGAAGGCAAUCCCCUGGGCCUGCACUGACGCUCAUGCGCGAAAGCGUGGGGAGCAAACA